rnacentral:rRNA from 1 species
GUAAGGAAUAUUGGACAAUGGUGGCAACACUGAUCCAGCCAUGCCGCGUGAAGGAUGAAGGCGCUACGCGUUGUAAACUUCUUUUGUAUGGGAAAAAACCUCUCUACGUGUAGAGAGCUGAUUGUACCAUAAGAAUAAGCAUCGGCUAACUCCGUGCCAGCAGCCGCGGUAAUACGGAGGAUGCAAGCGUUAUCCGGAUUUAUUGGGUUUAAAGGGUGCGUAGGCGGAUUUGUAAGUCAGUGGUGAAAGCCUGCAGCUUAACUGCAGAAUUGCCAUUGAUACUGCUAAUCUCGAGUGUAUUUGAUGUGGGCGGAAUGUACGGUGUAGUGGUGAAAUACUUAGAUAUCGUACAGAACACCGAUUGCGAAGGCAGCUCACAAAACUACAACUGACGCUGAGGCACGAAAGCGUGGGUAGCAAACAGGAUUAGAAACCCGAGUAGUCC